UGCCAGCCGCCGCGGUAACACGGGGGGCGCAAGCGUUAUUCGGAAUUAUUGGGCGUAAAGGGCGCGUAGGCGGCCUGUCAAGUCAGGGGUGAAAGGCCUGGGCUCAACCUGGGAACGGCCUCUGAAACUGAUGGGCUUGAGGGCGAGAGAGGAUGGCGGAAUUCCCAGUGUAGAGGUGAAAUGCGCAGAUAUUAGGAGGAACACCUAUUGCGAAGGCAGCACUCUGGGCCGGUACUGACGCUGAGGAGCGAAAGCAUGGGUAGCAAACAGGAUUAGAUA
rnacentral:rRNA from 1 species